GGUAAGGUGGCCGAGUGGUUAAGGCGUUGCACUCAAGAGUUUCUCUUUCUCCUCGCAGAGGGGGUUUGCAAUGGAGCGAUCCGCGCGAGUUCGAGUCUCGUCCUUAUCA